AUUGAACGCUGGUGGCAGGCUUAACACAUGCAAGUCGAGCGGGGGAAGGUAGCUUGCUACCGGACCUAGCGGCGGACGGGUGAGUAAUGCUUAGGAAUCUGCCUAUUAGUGGGGGACAACAUCUCGAAAGGGAUGCUAAUACCGCAUACGUCCUACGGGAGAAAGCGGGGGAUAUUCGGACCUUGCGCUAAUAGAUGAGCCUACGUCGGAUUAGCUAGUUGGUGGGGUAAAGGCCUACCAAGGCGACGAUCUGUAGCGGGUCUGAGAGGAUGGGCCGCCACACUGGGACUGAGGCACGGCCCAGACUCCUACGGGAGGCAGCAGUUGGGAAUAUUGGACAAGGGGGGGAACCCUGAUCCAGCCAUGCCGCGUGUGUGAAGAAGGCCUUAUGGUUGUAAAGCACUUUAAGCGAGGAGGAGGCUACUCUAGUUAAUACCUAGGGAUAGUGGACGUUACUCGCAGAAUAAGCACCGGCUAACUCUGUGCCAGCCGCCGCAGUAA
rnacentral:rRNA from 1 species